UACGGGGGGAGCAAGCGUUGUUCGGAUUUACUGGGCGUAAAGGGCGCGUAGGCGGCGUGACAAGUCACUUGUGAAAUCUCCGGGCUUAACUCGGAACGGUCAAGUGAUACUGUCGUGCUAGAGUACAGAAGGGGCAACUGGAAUUCUCGGUGUAGCGGUGAAAUGCGUAGAUAUCGAGAGGAACACCUGCGGCGAAGGCGGGUUGCUGGGCUGAUACUGACGCUGAGACGCGAAAGCGUGGGGAGCGAACAGG
rnacentral:rRNA from 1 species